CACUUAUAUAUAUUUAUUUGAUUAUCAAUUAUUAUCAUAAUUUAUUGCAUAUACUAGAAAACUUUUACAAAAAUAGACAUUAAAACUAGAAAUAAGCAAUCUCUAUUUUCUUCCCACUCCACAGAGAACUGCCUUAUUUGUCCCCUUUGAAGACAAAUGUUCUUGAGCACUGGUUGAACUGGAUUUUCAGGCCAGGUCAAGGCCCAGUUCUUGAUGGUGCUAUCUUACUGCUACCUAUUCCAUGGCACACCCUCCAGAUAAGUCCCUUUCUCCAGUUACCAGCUACUGGUUUAGGUACAUCUGUCCCAUUAAUUAGUUGGGUAUUACAGUAUCUUAAAGUCUCCUAAAAACUCUCUAAUAAUGUGUUUAAUUUCUCAGUAAUUUUCUUUCACUGGCCUCUUUUUAUUAAAAGCUAGACAUAUAAUGGAUGCAUAACUUACUUCUGGCUUCCUAAUAUUCAUUGUUUGAUGUGGCCAUCAACAUAUUGAAGGAAGAUAUUAAUUAAAACAGCCAGAUUGUGUUGACCUAAAAUACCAAAAGGAUUUUGAAUAACUUUCUGGUGUCCAUCUCUAAAUAAUUGAGAAGGAAAAGAUAGCUUUAUUGUGUGAAACCCUUUCAGAAGCAGAGGUCAUCUGGUGACCUCUUUUAGCUAUAUGACCUCUUGACACCAUGAUUUUUGAGUUGUAUUGGGUCUAUUUAAGUUGUUGGAUGUAACAUAUAAAUACGUAUCUAGCUAAUACAUCAGUCAUUUGCAUCCUCUGGGCCAAUUUUCUGUUGAAUACUGCC
rnacentral:lncRNA from 12 species